UGGAAGAGGCAUGAAUUCAAUUAGCAGCUUGUGUUGAAAUGAUAAAUGAAAGUAUUACUGCAUUUUCACUCCAUUUUCUCCUUGUGUUGCUGCAGUCAAGGAUGUGGUCUUGAAAUUGAACCUGCUUCUCACAAAAGAACAAGCUAUUGGUUUCCGUUGCUGCUGGAGUCAAGCUCCAUGAUCUUCAGGUUUCUCAAUGCAUUAGUUGGUUUUGGACUAUUUGACAGAGAAUUCCUUGUGGUUGGGAGCUGAGUUGAAAUUGGAAUUCCCAUGCUAAUACUGUUUAUAGCCUUAUCUCAGAGAUUGGAUCAGGAGAUUGAGAUUCCAUCACCAAAAGAGUUAGGAAGUAGAUUUUUUGGAGCAAGCAACAAGGAAGCAUGACCUUGUUUGAUAUGUUUAGACGUAUAUUAAGGAGUAUAUUAAGGAUUAUAUGUUAAGACAUAUUAUUAAAAAAUGUUACUUUGAUACUUUAUUUUUGGAUUAUGACUUUUGGAUCAUGUAUGAAUAAAAAAUCAUGUUAUG